GGACUACAAGGGUUUCUAAUCCUGUUUGCUCCCCCAGCUUUCGUGCCUGAGCGUCAGAACUCGUUUAGGGCGCUGCCUACGCCGUUGGUGUUCCUCCGGAUCUCUACGCAUUUCACCGCUCCACCCGGAAUUCCACGCCCCUCCCCGAGCCUCAAGCCAUCCAGUUUGCGCGGCGCCCUCCCAGGUAAGCCGGGAGAUUUCACCGCACACUUCAAUGGCCGCCUGCGCACCCUUUACGCCCAGUAACUCCGGACAACGCUCGCCUCCUACGUAUUACCGCGGCUGCUGGCAC
rnacentral:rRNA from 1 species